CAGUUGUUCGAUCUGAGCCUCCAUGGUCUUUGUCAUCUUCCUUCGAAAUUUUCUUUGUUCCUGAACUACCUGAGACCAUCAUUGGAUAGGAUCAACCGAAGGAUUCGUCGGCAGUGAUGCAGUAUCAGGCCUCUUGCGCACCGACAUAGUAGCAGUCCUUGGAGGUGAGGAAGCUACUCCCCAUCGAGGAGCGUCUUCCCCAGUCAUAGCAAAAG
rnacentral:lncRNA from 1 species